rnacentral:lncRNA from 1 species
CAGGAACCUUCACUGACCAUGGAGUUCUUGGCUCUGCUCCUCUGCCUACUGACAGCUCCCUGCAGUGUCCUGUCCCAGGUGCAGCUGCAGGAGUCAGGACCUGGCCUGGUGAAGCCUUCAGAGAC